CCAGGCCCUGAUCGAAGGCAUGUGGAGCUUGAUCCUGUAGCUCAUGUGGUCAAAACAGGCGCCUAGAUUAAAUGUAUUUCCAUUGACGGUCGCUGCUCAGUUUUAUUGUUGUAUCUGAUUUAGCAACAUAUGAAUGGAGAACAAUG